GGGGAUUUAGCUCAGUGGUAGAGCACUUGCCUAGCAAACAUGAGGUCCUGGGUUCAAUCCCUA
rnacentral:tRNA from 1 species